rnacentral:rRNA from 1 species
GAUGAACGCUGGCGGCGUGCCUAAUACAUGCAAGUCGAGCGAACAGACGAGGAGCUUGCUCCUCUGACGUUAGCGGCGGACGGGUGAGUAACACGUGGAUAACCUACCUAUAAGACUGGGAUAACUUCGGGAAACCGGAGCUAAUACCGGAUAAUAUAUUGAACCGCAUGGUUCAAUAGUGAAAGACGGUUUUGCUGUCACUUAUAGAUGGAUCCGCGCCGCAUUAGCUAGUUGGUAAGGUAACGGCUUACCAAGGCAACGAUGCGUAGCCGACCUGAGAGGGUGAUCGGCCACACUGGAACUGAGACACGGUCCAGACUCCUACGGGAGGCAGCAGUAGGGAAUCUUCCGCAAUGGGCGAAAGCCUGACGGAGCAACGCCGCGUGAGUGAUGAAGGUCUUCGGAUCGUAAAACGCUGUUAUGAGGGAAGAACAAAUGUGUAAGUAACGAUGCACGUCUUGACGGUACCUAAUCAGAAAGCCACGGCUAACUACGU